GUCACUACCAAGGUGAGAAGCUGAAGUAGGAAAUAGCCCAGGAAUACAGCAGCGAGGUUCAGGAAUGUGCAGACUUGACUGCUGGUUGUAGGGUCCCUGGGCUGGAACCCACUCUACAGAGUGGGCCUGGGUUCCCCUACCAGCCCCUGGGGAAAUGGCACCAUUAAGGGGCAGUGAAUAGGAAGACUUCCUAGGACAGUGACUCUGGAGAGAUUUUGAUAUCCUGGAAGGAGGAAGACUACAGUGACCUGACCGGAGGGCCAAGCCACAAAGUGAAGAAACAUGGAACCAUGGUCAAUCUUUUGAGGUCAACGCAGUGUGAAUGUAGAGACAUCAUGUCAGUAAACAGUCAUUCUUGACGUGGUCUGAAGCAGCAACUGGAGA